rnacentral:rRNA from 1 species
UACGUAGGGGGCAAGCGUUGUCCGGAUUUAUUGGGCGUAAAGCGCGCGUAGGCGGCCCAGUAAGUCCGUUGUAAAAGUCAAAGGCUCAACCUUUGAAAGCCGAUGGAUACUGCUGGGCUAGAGUCCGGAAGAGGCGAGUGGAAUUCCUGGUGUAGCGGUGGAAUGCGCAGAUAUCAGGAGGAACACCGAUAGCGAAGGCAGCUCGCUGGGACGGGUACUGACGCUGAGGCGCGAAAGCGUGGGGAGCGAACAGG